AGACUUAUUGAUACACAUGUGUGAAUGGUUUAAAAGCUAAAACGUUUUCCCAUCUUAUUUUAUUAUUUCCUGACUCAGCUUACUAGCAAACCUGUCGUCAUCAUUGUUUGGUUAUUGUCAACGAUGCUAACGCUAAUGCUAACGCUAAUGCUAACGCUGAUGCUAACGCUAGCUAACUUAACGUUACAGUAUGUAAAUCUGUCUUGUAUCUCUUCUAACUUUGUAACAUUAGACCUGAGUAAGUUUUGCAUGUCACAUUCAUUCAUGCAUUCAUAAUUAGGCUAAAUGUAUUGUGCAAGAUAUAGUGACAUGCAUCAUGACAUGCGACUAUUACAGUAUGAAAAGAAAUCAGAACAUUCAGGGAUUCUUCAAAAGAAAGAAAUCCAAAACAACAGAGCAGGACAGAGCAGCAGAAGCCAGCAGUGCUAGUCAGUCUGAGGAUGAGAGCCAGCUUGACUCUGCUAGGGAUGUACAGCAGGAGCCUCCAGCUUCAGCUGUACACAUGGACUCAGACAAGGAUACUGGUGAUGAAGGCCCUUCAUCUUCACUUGCACAUCAGGGUAUGUAAUGUAUGCAUCUUUAUAAAACUAUCUGCUAUGACUUGAGAUGUUUCACUUUUGCUAUACUUAUAGUGGCUUAUACUGAGAUUCAGGGCAAAGCCCUAUUUUUAACAAUACAGGUGUGAAAAAGCUAAAUAUGACUAAUUUGACAUACAAAUAAAUUGAUACAACUGUUAAAAUCCCUAUAUUACUUCAGGUGUGUCAAGUCAGCCACUCUCUGACAAUGACACUGACACUGAGAACCAUCCAGCAGUACCUGCAGGCCAUGCAGUGACACGUGGGGAUGGUGAUGCAGCAGCCCUUGUGGCCCCACCUGGACCUCAUGAUAUUUCACAGUCAAGAGCAGCAGGUCCCUCUCAGCCUCGUUUAAAGGUUUUUCCAAGAACCCUCCAAGGUGAGAAGAGGAGG